rnacentral:rRNA from 1 species
UACGUAGGUGGCAAGCGUUGUCCGGAUUUACUGGGCGUAAAGAGCGCGCAGGCGGUCGUCCAAGUCGCGUGUGAAAGCCCCCGGCUCAACUGGGGAGGGUCAUUCGAAACUGGUCGACUCGAAGGCAGGAGAGGGUAGUGGAAUUCCCGGUGUAGUGGUGAAAUGCGUAGAUAUCGGGAGGAACACCAGUGGCGAAGGCGACUACCUGGCCUGUUCUUGGCGCUGAGGCGCGAAAGCUAGGGGAGCAAACGGG